AUGCUGCUGCUUUCAGUCAUCCUUCCAACUUUAUUUUGGUCCCGUGGAGAUGGCCAGGGAGCACCGGUGCAAACCCCGGGGCUGCAGAGGGAGCUGGAGGGCAGCUCUGCCCGCAUGGAGUGCCGCAUAGCAGACGAGACCGUCCUGCACUGGUACAGACAGCUUCCUGGGGAGCCACCAAAGAGGCUACUGUACGUGAUGGGACAGUCACCUGUUUUUGAUGACAGCAGCUUUGGCAUGAGAGUUCGAGUUUGGAAACUCAGCACCGAGCCUCUCUACAGCCUCACAAUACAGUCCUUAACCCCAAGGGAUUCCGGCACCUACUACUGUGCAUAUUGGUUUCAUCGAGGCAUCACAGCCUUAGACGGGCAAAGAUAA